rnacentral:rRNA from 1 species
UACGUAGGGUGCAAGCGUUAAUCGGAAUUACUGGGCGUAAAGCGUGCGCAGGCGGUUAUAUAAGACAGUUGUGAAAUCCCCGGGCUCAACCUGGGAACUGCAUCUGUGACUGUAUAGCUAGAGUACGGUAGAGGGGGAUGGAAUUCCGCGUGUAGCAGUGAAAUGCGUAGAUAUGCGGAGGAACACCGAUGGCGAAGGCAAUCCCCUGGACCUGUACUGACGCUCAUGCACGAAAGGCGUGGGGAGCAAACGAGG